GCCACCCCCUUGGUCACUCUGUUCCCGCCCUCCUCUGAGGAGCUCCAAGCCAACAAGGCCAUGCUGGUGUGUCUCAUAAAUGACUUCUACCCAGGAGCCAUAGAAGGAAAAUGGCACCCUAGUCACCAAGGGCAUAGAGACAACCACACCCUCCACACAGAGCAACAACAACUAUGCGGCCAGCAGCUACCUGAGCCUGACGCCCGAGCAGUGGAAGUCCCACAGAAGCUACAGCUGCCAGGUCACGCACAAAGAAAGUACCAUGGAGAAGACAAUGGCCCAUGCAGAAUGUU
rnacentral:lncRNA from 1 species